CAUAUACCAAACAUGUAUGCAGCUAAUCAUGCCAAUUAUGCUGCACUUUCCUUGAAUCCUCCCGACACUGGGUUACAGAAUUGCUCUGUCAGGUGAUUGGGAAGAUUUAAGCAAAAUUGUGCAGGUGUGAUUUGGUGGGUGUGGUCACAUAACGUUUGGGUGCCAACAGCCCUUCUAAACAUAAAACAGAGCAGAGUCAGGAGGACUCAGGCAAACUGUUGGGAGGACUGAGGAGGAGUAC